rnacentral:rRNA from 1 species
AGCGAACGCUGGCGGCAGGCCUAACACAUGCAAGUCGAACGAACUCUUCGGAGUUAGUGGCGGACGGGUGAGUAACACGUGGGAACGUGCCUUUAGGUUCGGAAUAACUCAGGGAAACUUGUGCUAAUACCGAAUGUGCCCUUCGGGGGAAAGAUUUAUCGCCUUUAGAGCGGCCCGCGUCUGAUUAGCUAGUUGGUGAGGUAAAGGCUCACCAAGGCGACGAUCAGUAACUGGUCUGAGAGGAUGAUCAGCCACAUUGGGACUGAGACACGGCCCAAACUCCUACGGGAGGCAGCAGUAGGGAAUCUUGCGCAAUGGGCGAAAGCCUGACGCAGCCAUGCCGCGUGAAUGAUGAAGGUCUUAGGAUUGUAAAAUUCUUUCACCGGGGACGAUAAUGACGGUACCCGGAGAAGAAGCCCCGGCUAACUUCGUG